AGAGUUUGAUCCUGGCUCAGGACGAACGCUGGCGGCGCGCUUAACACAUGCAAGUCGAGCGAGAACCAGGCCUUCGGGCCUGGGGACAGCGGCGAACGGGUGAGUAACACGUGGGUAAUCAACCCUCGAUACUGGGAUAGCCCGGGGAAACCCGGAUUAAUACCGGAUGGCCCUUCGGAUCCUCGGAUCUGAAGGAAAAGGUAGCUUCGGCCUCCGAUCGAGGACGAGCCCGCGGCGGAUUAGCUUGUUGGUGAGGUAACGGCUCACCAAGGCGACGAUCCGUAGCUGGUCUGAGAGGACGAUCAGCCACACUGGGACUGAGACACGGCCCAGACUCCUACGGGAGGCAGCAGUGGGGAAUCUUGCGCUAAUGCGGGAAACCGUGACGCAGCGACGCCGCGUGAGGGAAGAAGGCCUUCGGGUUGUAAACCUCUUUCAGGAGGGACGAAGCCACUCGGGUUAAUAGCCCAGAGGGUGACGGUACCUCCAGAAGAAGCCCCGGCUAACUACGUGCCAGCAGCCGCGGUAAUACGUAGGGGGCAAGCGUUGUCCGGAUUUAUUGGGCGUAAAGAGCGUGUAGGCGGCUAGAUAGGUCCGUUGUGAAAACUCGAGGCUCAACCUCGAGACGUCGAUGGAAACCAUCUGGCUAGAGUCCGGAAGAGGAGAGUGGAAUUCCUGGUGUAGCGGUGAAAUGCGCAGAUAUCAGGAAGAACACCCGUGGCGAAGGCGGCUCUCUGGUGCGUGACUGACGCUGAGACGCGAAAGCGUGGGGAGCAAACAGGAUUAGAUACCCCGGUAGUCC
rnacentral:rRNA from 1 species